UGACCAUGUGCCAACAAGGGGCGGGGCCGUGGGUUGGCAGAGCUUGCAGGGAGUGAAGUCCUUGACCUUAGGAAGGCGGGAUGGCCGUGGGCAGGCGACCCUUCCCACAGCCGCCUCCCGGGCCCGUCUGGCCUGGGCCAUCUGGGGCAGCACAGGGGCUCCUUGGAAUGGAGGCCGAGCACAGGGCGCUUGUGAUGGCAUCCAGGACCCACCUGGGUAAUCCAGGGUAAUCUCAUCUUGAAAUCCUUAACUACAGCUGCAAAUCAGAACCCUCGGCCGAGGAAACCACGGGAAUCUCAUUUGAAGAAGAAUCUGGCCCCUUGGAGCCCCCUCCCCAUUAGCUGGUGGGAGGGUGCCCAGAUUUCAGUCGCAGCCACCGCACCAGCAAACCCCAAACCACAGGAAUGCGCGGGGUCACCUGGGGACAGAGGGAGGGUGGCUGGACAGUGAGUGAGCCCAUGGGCCUGCACCACGUGGGGGUCUGCUGUUCGGCCACACGAGCACUGGACUCGGAGCCCCCAGACCUCAGUGUGACUCUGGACUCUGCCACUCUGGCCUGGGAUCUUGGUGGUCACAUGUGUGGCUAACCACGCUCACCUGGCCACUCCGGCCCUCAGCCAGACUCAGGCCGGGAGCUGAGCUUGGCAGUGAGAG